rnacentral:rRNA from 1 species
UACAGGGGGUGCUAGCGUUGUUCGGAAUUACUGGGCGUAAAGCGCGCGUAGGCGGGUCAGAAAGUCGAUUGUGAAAUCCCUGGGCUUAACCCGGGAACUGCAGUCGAAACUCCUGAUCUUGAAUGUCUGAGAGGAUGGCGGAAUUGCCGGUGUAGUAGUGAAAUACGUAGAUAUCGGCAAGAACACCUGAGGCGAAGGCGGCUAUCUGGCGGUACAUUGACGCUAAGGCGCGAAAGCGUGGGGAGCGAACAGGA